rnacentral:rRNA from 1 species
AUUGAACGCUGGCGGCAGGCCUAACACAUGCAAGUCGAGCGAGCGGCGGACGGGGGAGUAAUGUCUGGGAAACUGCCUGAUGGAGGGGGAUAACUACUGGAAACGGUAGCUAAUACCGCAUACCAUCAGAUGUGCCCAGCUGGGGUUAGCUAGUAGGUGGGGUAACGGCUCACCUAGUCGAAGAGCCCUAGCGGGUCUGAGAGGAUUACCAGCCACACUGUAACUGAUACACGGUCCAGACUCCUACGGGAGGUAUCAGUGGGGAAUAUUGCACAAUGGGCGCAAGCCUGAUGCAGCCAUGCCGCGUGUGUGAAGAAGGCCUUCGGGUUGUAAAGCACUUUCAGCGGUGAGGCGUUACCCGCAGAAGAAGCACCGGCUAACUCCGUGCCAGCAGCCGCGGUAAUAC